GAGGAGGCGGGGCUUCUCUGGCGGGGUGUGCGCGUGCGCAAAGGUCGGGUCGGAGGAGUCUUCGCUUUCGCCACUGCUAGGAUAAUCAAGCAAAACAGAGAUGAGCUUCAUCCAUGGACUGCAGUCUGCUGCUAGAAACUGUGUUUUCUUCCGCUUCAGUUUACUGACCAACUGGAGAAAAUGUCACACGCUAGCUGUAACUUCACUGGACUAUCCUCAAGUGAAAAUUAACUGUACAGUAAAUAAGUCUCAAGACCUGGGACUAAAUCAGGGUGAUAGACUGACUUUUCUUCCUGAAAACUAUCAUUUCUUUAGGACUUUUAAUAGCAAAAGAACAGGAUGCUUCUUGAGCGCCAGCAUUAAGGAAAUUGGGAUGGUUUCCCAAAAAUGUACUGCCUGGAAUAACUCUUUUUCUAGACAGCAUCUGAGGAAAGAAAUUCCAGGAGUUUCUCCUCUUUCAGUAUCUUGUCCUCUAAACUGUUUGCCCAUAAGAGACGUCAGGAGUUUCCAUACUUCUCCACGGUUUCAAGCUGCUCCAGUUCCUCUCUUGCUGAUGAUUCUUAAACCAGUGCAGAAACUACUUGCAAUCAUUGUGGGCAGGGGCAUAAGGAAAUGGUGGCAGGCACUUCCUCCUAACAAGAAGGAACUAUUUAAAGAAAGUAUAAGGAAGAAUAAAUGGAAGUUAUUCCUUGGUUUGAGUAGUUCUGGAUUGCUCUUUGUAGUGUUUUAUUUUACUCACCUGGAAGUGAGUCCAGUCACAGGAAGGCGCAAGCUACUAUUAUUGGGGAAAGAACAUUUCAGACUUUUAUCAGAACUGGAAUAUGAAGCAUGGAUGGAAGAAUUUAAAAAUGAUAUGCUUCCUGAGAAAGACGCCCGAUAUGUGACUGUUAAAGAGGUGGUUCAUCAUUUAAUUGAAUGCAAUAAAGAUAUUCCAGGGAUCUCUGAGAUCAAUUGGAUUAUUCAUGUGGUUGAUACCCCAGAUAUAAAUGCCUUUGUGCUUCCAAAUGGACAAGUGUUUAUCUUCACUGGGCUUUUAAAUAGUGUGACUGAUAUUCAUCAGCUUUCGUUCCUUCUGGGCCAUGAAAUUGCACAUGCAGUACUUGGGCAUGCUGUAGAAAAGGCUAGCUUGGUUCAUUUAUUGGAUUUCCUAGGUCUGAUUUUUCUCACAAUGAUCUGGGCCAUUUGUCCUCGAGAUAGUUUGGCACUUUUGGGCCAGUGGAUACAGUCUAAAUUGCAGGAGUUUAUGUUUGAUAGACCGUACAGUAGAACACUGGAGGCCGAAGCUGACAAAAUUGGACUACAGCUUGCUGCAAAGGCUUGUGUGGACGUCAGAGCCAGUUCAGUGUUUUGGCAGCAGAUGGAAUUUGCAGACAGCAUCCAUGGUCAUCCCAAGUUGCCAGAAUGGUUAUCUACACAUCCUUCUCAUGGAAAUCGAGCCGAGUCUUUGGAUAGACUCAUACCUCAGAAGGCUAACUGGAAUGUGUCUUCAAGAGGAAUCUAUAUAGAACAAUGAAGAAGGAACUCAGACCAGCCAAGUCAACUCUAAUGGAAUAAAAGAUACUGCAGCCACAUUUUUAUCCUUCUCAAGAGUAGAUUUACAAGGUAGCAUUUCUCAAGAUGGGUUUUUAGAAGAAUCAUGCAUGAGAGCCUGAUGUGAAGAUCACUGGAUAGUUAACUUUAUCAAGUGUUCAAUCUUCAUUGCAAAGACAGGCCCUUACAAGAUGCCAAGGUCUAAGGAGAAAACUUAAAAACACGUGAGGAGUAAGAAUGACUCCCCAUAAGAUGCGUUCCCUUCUCCGUCAGCGUUCCACUACCCUUGUGAAAGUCACCAUCUUCUCUCCCCUAGGUUAACGACAGUCAUCUCCUAUUCUGAUUUUCUUGUUCCACUCUUCACCUCAGUCCCUAACAGCCUAUUUUCAGUACAGUAGUCAGAAUGCUCUUUUUAAUGUCAUUUCCCUUCUUAAACCCUUACAUUGGCUUCUCAUUUAACUUUGAAUAAAAAUCCAAACUCCUUACUGGGUCUUUAAAUCAUGUGAUUUGGCCACUGCCUGCUUCUCCAGCUUCUUCACUCGUCGCCCUCCACAGGUUUCUCUCAAUCCCCGCGAUUUGAUGUGGAGUUUGUUUCCUACUUACAGCUCCUGUGCUUGCUGACUUCUCUGUCUGGAAUGUUCUUCCCUCAGCGCUUUGCACAAAUGUCAUGUCGCUGGGGAGGCUUUUCCUGUCCCCCAAUUUCAAAUAGCCUUUCUUCCGUGUAGUCCUUCUGUAACACAGUUUAUUGUUUAAUUUUUUAUUGUACUUAGCUAAAACUACCUUGUUUACUUGUUUAUUAUCUAUCUCCUCUCCUAGAAUGGAAGGCCCCUGUUCAGUGCGGUCUCCCUAGCGCCUGGGACAGUUUCUGAGAUGUUUAGUGAAUAUUUGUUAAAUUACUGCAUGAUGGAUAAUAAUAGGAAAGACAAAUAAUAAAAUAUUAGGUUAAAAAUAGAAAAGUUGGUCAGUGCAAUUGAAUAGCAGUUACAUUCUCUCAUGGAAAUGUAGCAUGUAGCAAAUUAGUAGUGGGAAGAGGGUGCUUAUAGGAAAUAGUGAAAAAAUAGCAGUGGUCUAAGGAGUUUUGUGUUUAAAAUUCUGACAUACCCACCUAACUUUGAGGAAGUUAUCUAAUCUAACCCUCAGCCUUCUUCAUCUAUAACAUCGGGAUAACAAUGUCUCCUGAAUGUUUUAUGUAUAUAGUUGUAUGUUUGUGUGGGUAAGAUCCUGCCCUUCCCUCUUGCCUUUUUCCCUCUCUUCUUCCCUCCCUCCCUUAUAAGACACUUUAAUGGUAAGUAUUUCACACUGAGCCCAAGAUAUGAAAAAUGGUUCAUAAUAACACCCAUUUAGAGAACAUUAAAAUACCAGGCACAGUGUAAACCACAUAGAAAAUGGACAGUAAGUGUUAGUUCUUUGCACUCCUGGUUGGAAUCUUUAGGUAGCUAAUUCCAUAUUUAACUCCAGAUCUUCCUUGGGAUUCUUAGAGCUAUAUAUCCCUGUUGUUAGAGUACAUUCCUGCUUUCUCAUAGACUGUAAACUCUUAAGUGUUUUUCCUAUGACAUUUAUCAUAAUGAUUUAUUCAUAGCUUGCAUUCUAUAAAUGUUUGUUUAGAGUUCAGCAUGCAUUUAUUAAGUACCUAUUAUGUGCAGUGCAUGAUGUUAAACACAGAAAACAAAAUAAAGGAGAUGGAAAGACAUAUUCUAGCUGUACAGUGGGAAAAUGUUUACUUUUAAAGAGAUGAAGGCAUAUUUAAUAAGAUAGAUUUGAAUUUAUAAAAGUAAAAGAUGUUGACACCCUGAAAUGUAAUAAAAAUAAAUGUGGAAAGGAAAGUGAAAAAAAGAAUAUUUUACCACCAUAUGUGAUAAAAUCUUACUAUGCAAAAUAGGUGAAGAUUGAUGGAAAUAUGUAUGGUCUGUAACAGGAUUCUGUGUGAUAGGUAGAGGAGAAAAACAGUUCAUACAUGAAGAAAUAGCAAUAGAAAACUUUUACAAAGAAUAUGUAGUUUUUCUAACAAUUAAGGAAACAUAGCUCAGAUACCUCCAAAGUACAUUUUGUUCAGUAAAAGAUUUACUCAAGACACAUACAGUGUGGUGCAAAAAAAAUUAGUAUAAACACAUGUAAUGCAAAAGCAUUAAAAAAACAAAAAAAACAAAAGUGUGUUCUUAUCCCUUUUUUCCUAGCCUUUUUACUUCCAUGCCAGUUUUUUAGAAAAUAGACUUUAUUUUUAAGAGCAGUUAUAGGUUCACAGCUAAAUUGAGUGCAACGUACAGAAAUUUCCCAUAUACUUCUUGCUUUCAUAUAGAUACAGCCUCCCCCCACUAUCAAAAUCCUACACCAGAGCGGUGCAUUUGUUACAACAGAUGAAUCUUCAUUGACCUAUCAUUACAUCCCGAAGUCCAUAGUUUACAUUAGGGUUCACUUCCAGUGUUGUACACUCUGUGGGUAUGUAUAGUGUAUAAUGACAUGUCUUUAUCAUUAUAGUGCCACAUAGAGUAGUUUCGUUGCCCUAAAAAUACUCUAUGCUCUGCCUGUUUAUCCCUCUCUUCCCCCUAACCCCUGACAACCAUGAAUCUUUUUAGUGUCUUUAUAGUUUUGCCUUUUUCCAGAGUGUCAUGUAUGUAACUGGAAUCAUAGGCUAUGUGGCCUUUUCAGAUUUUUUUUUAACUUAAAAACAUGCAUUUAAGAUUCCUCUAUGUCCUUCUAAGCCUUGAUAACUUACUUCUUCUUACUGCUGAAUAAUAUUCCAUUGUCUGGUUGUAACACAGAUUAUUUAUCCGUUAACCUACUAAAGGACAUUGUGGUUGCUUCCAGGUUU